AACGAACGCUGGCGGCGCGCCUAAUACAUGCAAGUCGAGCGAGAAGACGUAGCAAUACGUUUGUAAAGCGGCGAACGGGUGAGGAAUACAUGGGUAACCUACCCUCGAGUGGGGAAUAACUAGCCGAAAGGUUAGCUAAUACCGCGUACGCUCCUUGGACUUCGGUUCAGGGAGGAAAGCGAUACCGUGGGUAUCGCGCUCUUGGAUGGGCUCAUGUCCUAUCAGCUUGUUGGUGAGGUAACGGCUCACCAAGGCUUCGACGGGUAGCUGGUCUGAGAGGACGAUCAGCCACACUGGCACUGCGACACGGGCCAGACUCCUACGGGAGGCAGCAGUAAGGAUAUUGCGCAAU
rnacentral:rRNA from 1 species